rnacentral:rRNA from 1 species
GAGUUUGAUCCUGGCUCAGGACGAACGCUGGCGGCAUGCCUAACACAUGCAAGUCGAACGGGAUAGGCAAGUAUCCUAGUGGCGAACGGGUGAGUAACGCGUGAGUAACCUGCCUCAUACAACGGGAUACCUGAGGGAAACUUCAGUUAAUACGGUAUAAGACCACACUGCCGCAUGGCAGAGGGGUAAAAGAGCAAUCCGGUAUGAGAUGGACUCGCGUCGCAUUAGCUAGUUGGUGAGGUAACGGCCACCAAGGCGACGAUGCGUAGCCGACCUGAGAGGUGA